rnacentral:rRNA from 1 species
UACCAGCACCCCGAGUGGUCGGGACGAUUAUUGGGCCUGAAGCAUCCGUAGCCGGCCUUACAAGUCCUCCGUUAAAUCCAGCUGCUUAACAGAUGGGCUGCGGAGGAUACUAUAAGACUAGGAGGCAGGAGAGGCAAGCGGUACUCAGUGGGUAGGGGUAAAAUCCGUUGAUCCAUUGAAGACCACCAGUGGCGAAGGCGGCUUGCCAGAAUGCGCUCGACGGUGAGGGAUGAAAGCUGGGGGAGCAAACCGG